rnacentral:rRNA from 1 species
CCUACGGGGGGCAGCAGUGGGGGAUAUUGCACAAUGGGGGGAACCCUGAUGCAGCGACGCCGCGUGGGUGAAGAAGCGCCUCGGCGUGUAAAGCCCUGUCAGCAGGGAAGAAAAUGACGGUACCUGAAGAAGAAGCUCCGGCUAACUACGUGCCAGCAGCCGCGGUAAUACGUAGGGGGCAAGCGUUAUCCGGAUUUACUGGGCGUAAAGGGGGCGCAGACGGCGGUGCAAGCCAGGAGUGAAAGGCCGGGGCCCAACCCCGGGACUGCUCUUGAAACUGCGUGGCUGGAGUGCAGGAGGGGGAGGCGGAAUUCCUGGUGUAGCGGUGAAAUGCGUAGAUAUCAGGAGGAACACCGGUGGCGAAGGCGGCCUGCUGGACUGCAACUGACGUUGAGGCCCGAAAGCGUGGGGAGCAAACAGGAUUAGAUACCCGUGUAGUC